GUGGGGUUGGGGAUGAAAUGGUUGACCCGAUCGCCGAUCACCGCCUGAGUGCGUUUGCCGUCGGUGAGCAUCUGCACUCCGCGGGUUUUGAACUUCUU
rnacentral:sRNA from 1 species